GGAUGUGAGAGUGAUCUGGUUGGGACAUCUGUCACCCCAUUGAUGGCCAGGGUUGACUCAGCUGAUCUGGCUGGCGAAGCGGAUAUCCCCUUCCUCCCUCAUUGCUCCAUGUGCCUCUCUCUUGAAGCUGUACACUUGGUGGAAGAGGACAACAAUCCCCGUUAGAGGAGGACAGGUCUUCGGUCAAGGGUGUACGAGUAGCUGUGCUCCCCUGCUAGAACCUCCAAACAAGCUCUCAAGAGUCUCACAGACUUUCCUGCCUGGGCUGACUUUGAAUGGUGAUCCUCAGAUCUCAGCCUCCUGAGUAGCUAGGA
ensembl:misc_RNA 7SK 7SK RNA